AGAGAGAGAGAGAGAGAGAAAAGGUUGGCUGACCACUCGAGUCCUACGAAAUCAAGAACCUCUCACCUCAGUUGCCGCCGAGCCGUGGGAGGAGAAGGGUGUGUGCUCCUGCCAACCUGGGCUUCACUAACUCACAGGCUGACCGAUGAAGACAAUGCCCAGCUGUUAUCACACUGUCCCACCUCACUGAAACAUCUGAAUGAGGCGUGAAGUCAGCAGCCUUCCAGAAAUGGCCAGAGCCAGGCAACACCUCUCUCCUAAAAGAAUACAACUAUGUGAUGUUGAGAACCGGUAGCAGUCCAGUCUCCAUAACAGGCACAAUGAAGCAGACGUUAGUCAUAGAUUCUGCCGUCUCUGUACAGUUGUGGACCAAAACCUCGCUCUUUCUUUAAAUCCUCAAGACUUGCCGUCCCCUUCUGCACAGCAUCACAUGGGGCAGGAGAAUGAAGGGAGUAGGGGGUGAACUAGCUGUCAUUCCCGUACUCCCCUUUCUCUCCUCCUGCCCCAUGUGACAUGCUGGCCAGAAAGGGGCUGGUACGUUUCAAUGAGUUUAGAAAGGUGGAUCAGUUUUUUAUCUACAACUGUACAGUAGACUCUGCUGUCACGCCACACCACCGGGAGAGUCUUCUAUUCCGGAGCAGCGCCUGCAGCCUCACUCAAGCACCUCAAUCUUUCUUACUGUCAGACUUGUUGGCUGGCUGUGACGCUGGUAAAUAAGCAGCUCGAGUGUUUUAAGUUCAGGAGAACUCCCAAAAUUAUUACUUUUUUUUUUUUUUUUUUUUUUGCUGCUUUAUAUUUCCUGUAUUGUAUGACUGCAAUAAAAUUCUACAUGCAUUAAAAAAGUUUCUUAAACUCCAUGGGAUUGGUAUACCUCUAGAGCUUCAAUAUGACCUCCGUUUUCAUAAUAAUAUGGGGGAUGGAAGU